rnacentral:rRNA from 1 species
GACGAACCGUGCGACCGUUAUUCGGAAUCACUGGGCUUAAAGCGCGUGUAGGCGGGCCGGCACGUCGGUCGCUGAAAUCCCCCGGCUCAACCGGGGAAGGGGCGCCGAUACGACCGGCCUGGAGGGGCGUAGGGGGACCUGGAACUUCCGGUGGAGCGGUGAAAUGCGUUGAGAUCGGAAGGAACGCCCGUGGCGAAAGCGAGGUCCUGGACGCCUGCUGACGCUGAGACGCGAAAGCCAGGGGAGCGAACGGG